rnacentral:rRNA from 1 species
UUUUCCAAAAGCGGAGGAAAAGAAACCAACAGGGAUUGCCCUAGUAACGGCGAGUGAAGCGGCAACAGCUCAAAUUUGAAAUCUGGCUCUUUCAGAGUCCGAGUUGUAAUUUGCAGAGGGCGCUUUGGCUUUGGCAGCGGUCCAAGUUCCUUGGAACAGGACGUCACAGAGGGUGAGAAUCCCGUACGUGGUCGCUAGCUAUUGCCGUGUAAAGCCCCUUCGACGAGUCGAGUUGUUUGGGAAUGCAGCUCUAAAUGGGAGGUAAAUUUCUUCUAAAGCUAAAUAUUGGCCAGAGACCGAUAGCGCACAAGUAGAGUGAUCGAAAGAUGAAAAGCACUUUGGAAAGAGAGUCAAACAGCACGUGAAAUUGUUGAAAGGGAAGCGCUUGCAGCCAGACUUGCUUGCAGUUGCUCAUCCGGGCUUUUGCCCGGUGCACUCUUCUGUAGGCAGGCCAGCAUCAGUUUGGGCGGUGGGAUAAAGGUCUCUGUCACGUACCUCUCUUCGGGGAGGCCUUAUAGGGGAGACGACAUACCACCAGCCUAGACUGAGGUCCGCGCAUCUGCUAGGAUGCUGGCGUAAUGGCUGUAAGCGGCCCGUCUUAAACACCCG